GGCCAUGCGUGGGGAUGUGUUAGAAAGGUCGCGAUUGGCUGAGAAGGCAGCAGCUGGAGAGGAGUGUGCCUGCCUGCCACACCCGCCAUCGGGAACGAGUUUGCUGUCAGCUGGGAGGAGGGAGUUUGAAGGCAGCAGCCCACUGGGAAGGAGUUUUCCAGCUGGAGUCAGCUGAGGAGGGAGUUUGAAGGCAGAAGCCCCACCAUCGGGAAGGAGUUUUCCGGCUGGGGCUGGAAGCAAGGAAGGGUGGGAAGCAGUUUGACCACAAGAGAGAGGAGCUUGCUCCAGGAGGAAGUUGGCAGCAGUUGGCAACUUAUCACUCCACUGCUUCUUUGCUUGAAAUGGAGACUGAAGGACAGCUGGAUGAUGACAGGUCGACACUGGUGUUGAUGGGAGACUGAGGGAGAAUGUCAAAAGCUGUGGAAUAGCUAGAGUGUCACUCAGGAGACUGGAACCACUUAAUGCCUGAGGAACCUCUCCAAGAAGAAGUAUGAUGUUGCAUUCAAACAGAUCUAAAACCUGUAUACUACAAGCACUUCAUAUACAGAAGAACUGAGUAAUCACUCAUGCAUCACCCACACCUGAAAGAGCUUUGUAAGGUGCAGUCUCCAUCUGGAGACCCCUGCUCUACAUGUUCCUACUCAAUCCUAAGUGGACCAAGCAUUCAUCUUGAAAACAAAAAUGAAAUUUCAAAGCAAUGUGAAAACUAUGAUACAAAAAGAGAAUAAAGCACCCAACAGUAACGUUUCUUCCUUACUUUCUUAUUUUAAAGGGGAAUACACAAGUGAGCUUCUGUAAUUUCCAAUAGAUUGUCUUCUUUAUAUGGAAAAAAGAUUAUCCUGAAAAUAACCAACAGUCUUUUUCAACAUGAUCUUGUUUUGCAACAGGUAUCUCCCCUUACAAUUGCAUUAUAUUUGUCCAAAUUGUUUAUCCAACAGAGGGAUGACUUAC